AGGUGUUUACACACAUCUCAGUGAAAUGCUUUGGAGUACUAUGGUACUAUCACAGUCUACUGUAAGUGUCACCUGCAGCUCUUACUGUACUUCCUAUAAUUGUUUGAUUUAAUGUCAUGGAGCAGCCAGUGGGUGGCGCUGUUAAAGUCUCUCUCUAGGUGUUUUGAUUCUAGGUCGCUGCUGAAGUUAGCUGCUGGUUAAUGUUGAAAACAUUAACAUCCUUCAGUUUUACAAAGUUCAUGGACAUGUUAUGAGUGAUGCAGCGACUACCCAGCUGUAGUUUCCAGCCGUGUAUCUCUGGGACCUUCAGGACGAGAGAAAAUCACAGGUGCAGAAGUGGAAGGCCGUGAGCUGCUGCUCCUCAGAUUGAUGUUCUUCAGGUGUUUGACACGUUCAGGAAUCCGGUCAGGAGAACAGCGGCUUUUGUUCCAGAAACAGGGAAUAUCCUGCACAGAUACGGCCUGCUUGGGAAAACCGAGCAAGCGAUGCAGUUCAGGUGGGAAGGAAGGGAGGUCCGUUUUUGGAAGGCCUUGGCAGAUCCUCCCGAUCGGAUGGAGCAUAUUCGGUUCACGUGCGGCGACUGAAUGCCUUCCAAUGUUUGCAGACACUGAUGGAUGAGAACAUAACGACGUGCCGACGGACAGACCACAUCUCUGAGAAAAAACUGUGAAUAUGGCAAUUCAUCUUGAAACUGGAAGGCCUGGAAGCGGUUGGAGCUGCAGUGUUGGGCGUCUGAAACGCACAAAUGUUUGGUUUCUGUUUACAUUUGAGUUUUUCUGCGUUUCUGCUCACUGCCGUUUCAUCUGUGAGAGCAGUUUUCUGUUUUAUUUAAGAGCUUAUAAGAUUACAGUUCCGCUCGGUUUCUGCUUUUUCUCAAGGAUAUUGCGACGGGCAACAGUGAUGAUGGUUUUAUGACCGAAUUUAGUGAGGUUUAUGCAUGAAGCAUGACAGGUUGUAAGAUACUGUACAUUCUGUAAAAACAAGAUUUAAUAUUAAAUGCAAUUUGCUUUCUCGGGUAAAUGUAGGCCUGUCAUGUGGUGAAUAAGAACAAAAUACAGUAUGCUUAUAUGUUUUAAAAAAUAUUUGUAUUUUAGUUGUAGCUGGUUAGUUGAACAGUUACAUGUAAAGAG